GACGAACGCUGGCGGCGUGCUUAACACAUGCAAGUCGAGCGGUAAGGCCCUUCGGGGUACACGAGCGGCGAACGGGUGAGUAACACGUGGGUGACCUGCCUCUAGCUCUGGGAUAAGCCUGGGAAACUGGGUCUAAUACCGGAUAUGACUCCACGGCGCAUGUUGUGGGGUGGAAAGCCUUGUGUGGCUAGAGAUGGGCCCGCGGCCUAUCAGCUUGUUGGUGGGGUGANGGCCUACCAAGGCGACGACGGGUAGCCGGCCUGAGAGGGCGACCGGCCACACUGGGACUGAGACACGGCCCAGACUCCUACGGGAGGCAGCAGUGGGGAAUCUUGCGCAAUGGGCGAAAGCCUGACGCAGCGACGCCGCGUGAGGGAUGACGGCCUCGGUU
rnacentral:rRNA from 1 species